rnacentral:lncRNA from 1 species
GGGUGUCGUGUCUCCGUGAGGGCUUGUUUGCGUGAAGCUGCGGUUGUAGGGGCGGGGGACCAGCGAGGGGUUGGGGAGCGCCCGCACGCGGUCUUGUGUGGGGCUAACGGGGCAGUGUUCUGCGUGCGGGGCCGAGGCCUGGCUGGAGGAAGAGGGCCGCGUGGCGUCAGGGACCGCACCGCCGCAGAGGCACGAACAGGCCGCUCAGGGGUCCCAGCACAGCGCGGCGAGUGGUGGCGGAGGAGAGAAGGCGGAGACCCGGGGACCCGCAUCCCGCCCCCGCUCCACAGACGCAGUUUAGAGCUCCUGGCACUGGCCGGCCCCGCGGUCCUAGAGGCACCGGGUUUGGAGGACUCGACCGGGCCGGGGAGACGCCUACGGGCUGGGGGCAGCGGGGACCGAGGCUUGGAGAUCCGUGAGCAGCCCAGAAGCGCGCGGCGAGGACUGCCCGCCGAGGCGGGUGGCGGUCCGGAGACGGUGGAGGACCAGGCCGAGACAAAGAAGCGCAGGGCCGGGGCCUCGAGGCGGGACAGUACCUCCGGUUCCCCCGCGGCCGAGGGGCGGGCCCUCCUGGCCCCAGUCCCGGGCCGCCGCCGUAGCGGCCCCAGAGCCCCAGGGACGCGGAAUUGCGCGUCCCGGGCGGGGCCAAGGUGUGGGGCGAGCGGUUGCGGGGGGAGGGUUGCGCGUAGCCGGCGGGCGCCGCGCCCCGGGGCUGUGAUUGAGCGCCUGGCGGCCCGCCCCUCGCCGGGCUCCUCACCGCCCACGCAGCCAUUCAUUCAUUCAUCCGUUUUCUCUCCAUCCACCCACCUUCUACCCAAACACGUGUCCGGCCUGUCGUCCGUCCACCCGAUUAUCGCGCCAGGGAUCACACUGACGCGUCAGCGCUGGCUCUCUCCACUUUCCUUGCCCGCCAGCCUGGCCGUCCCACUCUCCUUGGCCCCCACCUCGCGUCCCCCCAGGCCCCUGUCUGUCUGGCGGGAGGGAGGAGCGCACCCCACGACCUCUGUCACUCGGUCUUUGCUCUUCAGUGAUGGCCAGACCCCUGUCCCCACCUACUAA